AUUCAGGCCUCCGCCAGCUUCUAGGCCCUGGGGAUGGUCUUUCACCUCCCUCUUUCUGAUCUCUUUUUCAUGCUCCUCCUUGCUCCAAAGAAAAGCCGGAUGGCAAAAGAGCCCAGAACCUAUUGGAACUGACAAAAUCAAGUCACGGCGCCUACAAAGAUGAGGGGCAGAUUCUGGCUGCCUUUUAAUUUCGUCCUUCACCUGAUAUCUGUGCCAGAGAAUGAUAAAAAUCAUAAUAAAGGAAAUAAUGGAAGAGGAGACUUAUGUUACUGGGGACAUCUAACAUAAUUAUUUUCCUGAUUCAGUGGCAUGGUUCAGUCUUCCAGGAGUUCUGCUACAGAGAAGAGAGUAACCCCCAUCCAUCAUGGCCAAAGCACCCAGUCAGGCUCCGCUCUGGAUCCAGCCCGACAAAUGCAACCCUUGAAUAGGGUUUGUGCAAGCAAACUGGAUGACGACCGAAGAAACCCUGUCGCUUCUGAGAAGACACCCAAUCCAAGAAUGUGAGUUCUGGAAAUGUCAUUAAAUGUCAGUUAUAUACAUGCUUACGUGUCCAUAUUAGCUAUGCAAUCACCAUCAGCAAGUUCUUUUUCUCAACCAAAAAAAGAAGUAAAUUUCUCUGCUAAUUAAAUAUUUCCUCAGGCCAGCCACAGCAUCCAGCUGAAAUAAGAAUUUUAAUGGGAAAAUACCUUAUCUGUAUUCAGUGUUGACUCCAUGCUAAUUUGAGUGUUUGAGAUGGCUAUUAGGUGCUGUAACAUUAAAUAAUUUACAAAUACUUAAAUAUUUGAACCAUAACUACAGUUUUAAAAUAAGUUUACUCAUCUAAGAGUGAAGAUUCUCUUACAAUCUGCAAGUCUAUAGCUCAACUUUUACAUAUUCAUGUUUUAUAUUCAUUUUCAGGAAAGCAUCAGGUUCAAUACCUAGGAACUCCUGUAGAGGGUGUUGUGGAAUCUUCUUUAAAAGAACAAAACAAGGCAAAACAAAGUUUAAUAGGGUAGAGCAGCCAGGUGUGGUGGGUCAUGCCUGUAAUCUCAGCAAUUUGGGAGGCCAAGGCAGGAUCUCAGCAAUUUGGGAGGCGAAGGCAGGCAGAUCACUUGAGCCUAGGAGUUCAAGACCAGCUUGGGCAACAUAGCAAGACCCUGCCUAUACCAAAAAAAAAAAGUGAACCUAGGAGUAUGAGGCUGCAGUAAGCUGUGGUUGUACCAGUGCACUUUGGGAGGCCAAGGUAGGCGGGUCUUCUGAGAUCGAGAGUUUGAGACCAGCCUGACCAACAUGGAGAAACCCCGUCUCUACUAAAAGUACAAAAUUAGCCGGCAUGGUGGUGCAUGCCUGUAAUCCCAGCUACUCGGGAGGCUGAGGCGGGAGAAUUGCUUGAACUCAGGAGGCAGAGGUUGUGGUGAGCCAAGAUCGCGCCAUUGCACUCCAGCCUGGACAACAAGAGCGAAACUCCAUCACAAACAAACAAACAAUAAACAAAAACCAUAGAGUGAUUUCUGGCCAACAGAGCAAGAAAGAAGUGAACCAAUGAAAACCGGUCCAAGUCUGGGAGUCAAUAUGGAAAAGCUGCCUAAUUAAUGUGGAAGCCCCAGGGAAAUGAUAUACCAUGAAAACCUAACACUACAAAAACUAGUUGUCAGACACAUGUGAGCAGUGAACAGAAUCCUAAUAUGCUGGUUUAACAUUCAAAACUGGAGAGUGUUUGUGUAUCUUCUAAAGACUGUUUGGGGUUUAUUUGUGGAGUUCAGCUGAGUGUCAUCAGAACAAAGAUUAGUGCAAAAAAUCUUUCAGAAAUCAUGCCCAAACAUUUGCAUGCACCUUAAAUAAGAAAUGAAAUAGCAAGAAGAGUAUGUCACAAUAAAGUAUAAAUAGCAAGUGAUAUGUCUCAUCGUACUGAGACAGUUUUAUAAAUGAGGCAAAGGCCUUGUCAAAAAAUAAUGAUGAUUUUCAAAAUUCUGAAACGCAAAGGAGGAAAACUACUUCAUUCAGUUAACAGGAAGCACACAAGAAUCUCCCCAUCAACCAAGAUUUUUUUUUUCUAUAACCCACGCUUUGUAAGACAAUAAUAGCAAAAACUAUAAACUAGAAUUUGUUGAAAGAACAACUUCUAGAAUUUGCCCUUUAUGUGCUGUUUUACCAUUGUCAUGUCUGUCUCUGGUAUGACUUCCUCAUCUAUUAGUAGCCUCCUAAUAAAUUUGAACAAAUGAAUGAAUGAAUAAGAGACAACUAAGCAUGAGGUAUUGCAAGAUGGUAACUCAUCCAGGGAAAAUUAAAACCUGGAGUGGAUCAGAUGGAAAAACAAAAUAAGACACUAGAAAAAAAUCACCAGGAGGGUUUCAAACCAAAAGAUCCCCUGGUUAACCUUCAGCUAAUUAUAAGAUUUAAUUAACUAGAAAAACUCAAUCCUUGUUUAUUCUAUUUAAUUGAGAUUUUACCAUAUUUAAAAUGAUGUUACUCAAGUGUUCUCAUUAAUAUUUAAUGAAAGUGUGAGAGAAUUGGCUAACCAAAUUUACUGUGCUUAGGUAAACUGUAAUUAGGAAGGGUUAGCAGAGCAUCCCAAGGGACCUAUCAAUCACAAAAUGAAGCGAUACAAUUACAGAUGAAUUUCAACAAGGAAACACACAAAACAGUGAUCCUCAAAAAAGAUGGAAUAAAAUUACUUGAAUGUGGUAGUCGGUUCUGAGAAAUGCAAUCAAUCACAUGUCAUUUCAGACAACUCAGAAGGAAUAACCCUACCCAACAGACUUGAACUCUUUGUGUGUGUGUGUGUGUGUGUGUCUGUGUGUGUGAUAGAAUUUCACUCUUGUCGCCCAGGCUGGAGUGCAGUGCGAUCUCGGCUCACUGCAACCUCUGCCUCCCAGGUUCAAGCAAUUCUUCUGCCUCACCCUCCCUAGUAGCUGAGAUUAUAGGUGCCCACCACCACACCCGGCUAAUUUUGUAUUUUUAGUAGAGAAGGGGUUUCACCAUGUUGGCCAGGCUGGUCUCGAACUCCUGACCUCAGGUGAUCUUCCCACCUGGGCCUCCCAAAGUGCUGGGAUUACAGGCAUGAGCCACUGCACCUGGCCCAGACUUGAACUCUUGAUUGCAUGAAAGUGUAUUAAUCUUCUAUCUGCUUAUUCCCAAUUUCCCAGCUGAUAAAAUGCCCCACUGUUAUUUCACUUAAAUUUGGAAUAACCUGCAUCUAGUUAAGUUGGAGCUACUUUGUCUUGUUGCAGAUUUUCUUUUGCUUUGCUGUCUUCAUUCUAACUUGGCAGAGCCCAGGUGCUUUGUCUCUAUUUGCCUGCAAGACCUCUUUUCCAAGACAUGUCAGGUUUCUCUCUAAAGUACCUUCCACCUGGAGGAUAUCUGUUCUUGUUCUUUAAUUCCUGGCCCUAUUUCCUAUUCAUCUGAAAAACUAGGCUUUGUGAGCAGGAUCAUGCAUGGCAAUGAGUUCUAAUGAGUUUUUAAUGUUUCACACUUCAUGAUGAACAUAUAUUUGCAUUUCAGAAAAUGCUUUUAAGGAAUGUUUUUUUUUUUCUGCCCUCACUCCUAACUCAGUUGCCUUUAAGCAAAACCAAAGAGAGCCAUGGCCAGCCUGUUCAAAUGGCUGCAAUCAUUUAAGCCCCUCUCGCUGCACCCUGGCCCCUCUUGCCUCCCUAGCCUGCCCAUGCUUGCCCCUGUCUCAACUUCUACCCCCACUCCAGCUGAAGAGAUUUGCCAUUCUCAGCUUUCACCUUUGGGGAUCCCUCUUGACCAUGGUUAGCAAUUGCUGUGACCAUCCUCACAUCACAGAUUUUUGGGCUUCUGUUUCUUAGGACAAUGCCUGCUCUCCCUGCUAGCCUAUCCCUCAUCCCAGGCCCUCCAACCUCCAGCCACUGCAACUCUAGAGCCACAUCCUAUCCCAUUGACUAACCCAACUGCCAAGCCAAGCCCAAUCCCCAGACCUGGAGCUCAGAGAAAUUAUUAAUCCAAUCAAAGGCACUAAAGUUGGGAUUCUGACUCUGAAGCAGGUACCAAAUUUUGGACAGAGAGGGGCUCCUGAAACCAUACUAUUCCUGCAUUAAGUGUCUGGCACUAGGCAGGGGAUAUGAUGUGAUCUAACAAGGCCAUGCACUGGAAUUAACCUGCGUGAGCUCCACUUGGCUGCCCUCUAAAGGUCAAUGCAUUGUUUGAGCCUAGGGGAGCCAGUCACUGCUACAUCAAUGGCUGCAUCACGGUAUCCUUUUUAGGACUAAACCUGCAUUUUCCUAAUAUUCAGGUCUGUAGAAACUUUGACUGCAAGAAUUUUACAGGAAUGGGUAAAUAUCUGUAAGUACUUAAAAGUAUAUAUGGUAAUAUACAAUAUGAUAGAAGAAAUAAGACCUAAUGUUAGAUAGAUCAGCAGGGUAAUUAUAGUUUACAACCAUCUUUUGUACAAUUCAAAAUAGCUACAAGAGAAAAAGGUGAGUGUUUUUAGCAUAAAGAAAAGACAAAUACUUAAUGGAUAUCCCAAGUAUACUGAUUUGAUAUUUACAAAUUAUACAAAUGUAUUAAAUUGUCAUGUGUACUCCAAAACUAUGUACAUUAUUAUGCAUCAAUUAACAAAAGAUAAAAGUAUGUAUGAAUCAGUAAGUACUUCUAAGGACCUGUAAAUCCAUAUAAGUGCACAUUAGUAUAAGAGAACUAAGGAGAAUUUGAGAUCAGUGUUUACACAGUGCUAGCAUUUUGUUAUCUAAAACACCUCUUUUUCAACUCUAUCAAAGAUUGAAUGCAUUUUUUAAUUCAAGGAAUAUAAUAUUCAGGAUGAUUAUUUUUAUUACAGCUGUGGGCUUUUUCCUUGGGCAUUGAACGCUUCCAUUUAGUUCAACUACUUAUUAUCUUUUCUUCUCCUCUUCUUUUUUUUUUUUGCUUAACUUUCUAUUUCUUUCCCAGUAAUAACAUAUAUUUUCUCAACUUCUUAAAUCUCUUUAUUAGAUACAGUCGAAUGUAAUUUGGAAUUUACGAGUCUUAUCACAUUCUCAUUCUGCUUGAGCAAUUCAAGAUAUAAGAAAAACAGACUGUCUACAUUUCUUCAGAGUUCCUCCAACUAUUGGCUUAAAAUUCCUGAAAUUAAAAUUAUAGUUCUUUGACAUCGCUUCUGUCUAAUCAUUGCUGAUACCUGGAAAACACCAAAUGGCUUACUUACACAGUGUCCCACUCUGAAAUUUCUCACAUAAAGGAUUGUCUUACACAGAAAUACUGACCAUUUUGACAAGGGAAUGGCCCUAGAAUUGGGCCAGAGCUAAAAAUAAGCAGAAUAAACAAUUUUGAUAUUCUUCUUCAAUGGUCAUAAAUCUAGUUAGCAUGUUAUCAUUUACAUAUUAUGAUUUUGUUCAUGAUAGUUGUAGUAGAAUGGCCUAAAGAAAUCAAGAUCUGUUUUAUCUUCUACAUUACUUUAGUUACUGUAAGACUGAUAACUCACAUUGUCGUUUACCAAGUAUUUCCAUUUGUUCCUUGGAAUAAUCCUGUGAAGUGGGUAUUUUUUAUCACUAGUUUCAUAUAAUGAAUAUAUUACUGUUAAUGUCAAUACAUUCUAUUUAUCCAGCUCACUUAUUCUAGUAUUCUCUCUGCAGUGAUUCUUUAAUCUCAUUGAGAAGCCCCCAUGCCCAAUACACGCCUCCUAUCUUCAUACACGCCUCCUAUCUUCAUUUCCCUCCUUCCCCAACUCACACCCUUGAAAACAUUCUUAUCUCUCUUGUUUCUUUUUCUGUUGUCCUUGACUGGCAAAUUUGGAGGCAUGGAUGUACCCAACUCUUUGCCAUUUGGGGCUACCCCCAACUAGCCAAAUACUGCUAGAGAAACUCUCCUGAAUGAUUUCACUCUAAGUUCUAUGAACUUCAAAUGGGCAUUUAAGGAUACCUGGCAGUCCUACUAUGUUUUCCUAAUAAAUUUCAUUUUCCUCUUUCAAAAUUGUUAUUUAUUCUCCCGUCUCCUCCAACCUCCCAUAUCCCCACCUCCACACUCACUCUCUGCUGCUGAUGACCUCACUUCAUACUUUAUUGAAAAAAAUAGAAGCCUGCAGAGGAGCAACACUUUCAUACUGCUCCCACUGUAUCUAAAAAUCUCUAAGUUUCUGUGCCUGUCUUAGUCAGCUUGGGCUGCCAUAACAAAAUACCAUAAAAUGAGUGGCUUAAACAACAGAAAUUUUUCAUCUCAUAUUUUGAAGACUCAAAAUGUUGGCAUCGUUGGUACCUGGUGAGGGCUCUCUUCCUGGCUUGCAGACAGCUGCCUGCUGGCUGGGUCCUCACAUUGUCUUUUCUUGGUGCAUGCAUGAGGGAGAGAGUGCUAGUGUCUCUUCCUCUUCUUAUAAAGACACCAGCCCUAUCAAAUUAAGGGGUAGCUCUAUGACCUCAUUUAAAUAGAAUUAUCUCCCUAAAGACCUUAUCUUCUAAUAUAGUCACAUUUGAGACUGUGGCUUCAACAUGAAUUUUGGGGAGACAGAAUUCAGUCCUUCAGAGUGCCUGUGUUUUUCAUCUUACCAUAUGUUACAACAGAAAAAAAUGUCCCUGCUCUCAUCAAAAAUCAGUAACCCCCAGUAUGUUCUGGCUCCUGCCCGUCUCACUUUCUUAACAUUACUGACCCCCUCAUCUCUUCCUUCUCUUACAUAACUAGGGUUAUCCUUCUCACAAGCACACAAACACGCUCCUCCCUUGACUCCAUAAUCCCUCUCCAUCUCCCAACUCAUUUUUCUACCCCCUGUAAGCACCACUUCUCUAACAAAUUAUCUAAAAUUACUGCUUCCCCUUCCUCAACAAUCUAUUCCCUCAUCAGAAGACUUAAAACUGGCUAAUGUAGCUUCUGGGACUCAGAAAAUGAAAGCCCAAAAUAUGACACUUCAGACUUCAAACUGAGAGCACAUGGAGAGCAGCAAAUGCAGAGAAGGACUUUCCCCAAAGGUCCCUCCCUACCUAAACACAGGAUUCUCCUAAGAUACUCAAUCAUUGUCAAUCGCUUCCCCAGGGUAUCUCAAUGACUGGGAGAAGACUGAAGCCUAUCCCAGGAAAAGAAGACUAGAAUUGAUGACACACCAGGAGUCCAGAUGGGCUUUGUCUCAGACUACCAUCUGUUCUUCAGGCCCAUUCAUCUUCCCUAAAACUCAUUUACUCCUCCUCUAAAUUGUCUGCAUCCCACCCUUCCCCCUCCCUGUGAAGAAGGGUAUAUAAGCUUCUAAAUCCCAUUGGGUCAUUGGACACUCACCUUCCUGGAAUGCACGCAUACACAUAAUAUAUGUGUUAGCCUUUUCUCUCGUUAAGUGAUCUGUUAGUUUAUUUCUCAGACUCAAAUAUCAGACAUGCAGAGUGGAAAGAAAGGGCUCUCUCACCCAACAUGGCUCAUCUCAAGCUCAUCAAAAGCCCCCAUGUUCCAAAUUCAAUGGACGCCUCACUUGUCUUUUUUUUUUUUUUUUUUUUUUUUGAGACAGAAUCCUGCUCUGUCACCCAGGCUGGAGUGCAGUGGCAUGAUAUCGGCUCACUGCAACCUCCACCUCCCAGGUUUAUGCGAUUCUCCUGCCUCAGCCUCCCGAGUAACUGGGAUUACAGGUGCGCCACCGUGCUCAGCUAAUUUUUUUAUUUUUAGUAGAGACAGGGUUUCACCAUGUUGCCCAGGCUGGUCUUGAACUCCUGACCUCAAGUGAUCCACCGGCCUCAGCCUCCCAAAGGGCUGGGAUUACAGAGGUGAGCCACUGUACUGGGCCGCACUUAUCUUACUUGAUCUUUCAAGAACACCUGACCCAGUCAACUGCUCCUCUUCCCUGAAAACCACAUCACACUCUCCUGGUUUUCUUUCUGCAUCCCUGGCUGCUCCCUCUGCCUCUCCUUUGCUGGCUUCUGCUUCUCUUUCAAGCCUCUAAAUGUGGGAAUACCCUAGAACUUGCUCCUAGAUCCCCUUUUCUUCUCCACCUAUCUCCAGAGCUAAGUGAGCUCAUUCUACUCUCUGGCUUUGAGUCCUAUCUCUCUGGCGAUGACACCCAGAUUGAUAUGUGCAGUUCUGACCUCUCCCUUGAGCUCCAGACUCAUUUAUAUGGUCGAAAUGCCCAUCUGACAUUUCCAAUUGGACGUCUAAUAGUCUUGUCAAAUGUAGCAUAUCCAAAACAUAACCUUUGACUUCCCUCUUUUCCAGUCUUCCCCAUCUCUAUGGAUGGUAAUGAACUGCUCAAGCCAAACAUUUAUCAUUCGGAUUCCUGUCCUUCUCUUCUCUCCUAUACCCGGGCUUUUGACGAUUCAGCCGUAAAUCCAUCUACUUCUCUUUAUCGGUACUUCUAUUGCCUCAUUCAAGGCACAUCAGCUCUUGUCUGGAUGGAAGCCAUGGCCCCAUAAGUAGUCUUUCUGCUUCAAUUGCCUGACUGCCACACAUUCUCUAUGCAGCUAUCAGAGUACUCUUUUAAAAACUUAAAUCAUACUUGUCAUACAUGACAUAUUGUCAUGCCCUUGCUCAGAACCCUUCUGAGGCUUCACUUAUUAUUAGAAUAAAACUCAUCCUCACCAAGGCUUGCAUCCUACAACAUAACCUGACUUAGUAGGUCUAUUUCCUCCUUUGCUCUCUGUAUUGGUCCAUUUACAUUGCUGUAAAUAAAUGCCUGAGACUGGGUAGUUCAUCAGGAAAAGAGGUUUAUUUGGCUCACAGUUCUGCAGGCUGUACACAAAGCAUCGUGCCAGCAUCUGCUUCUGGUGAGGGAUUCAGGAAGCUUAUAAUCAUGGCGGGAUGUAAAGGAGAGCCAGCACAUCACAUGGAUAGAGAGAGAGAGAGAGGAGACAGUGCCAGGCUUUUUGAAACAACCAGAUCUUGUGUGAACUCAGAGAAUAAGAACUCACUCAUUACUGCCGAGACAUUCAUGAGGGAUCUGCCCCCAUGACCCAAACACCUCUCACUAGGCCCACUUCUAACACUGAAGCUCACAUUUCAACAUGAGAUUUGGAGGGGACAACCAUCCAAACCCUAUCACCCUCCAUGAUCCAUUCUUUCUGCUUCUCAAAUAUGCCAUGUUUAGGGCUGCUGUUCCUCUGCCUUGAGCGUUCCUGUUAGUGCUUCAGGUCUUAACUCGAAUGUCAACCCCUCAGAGUGACUUUUGCUACUCCCUAUGGAAUGCUCACCUCCCACCCCCGCCAUCAGCAUUUAUUUCGACUUCUUUCCUACCACUUAGCACAGUGAGCUCCAGGAGGGCAGGCUUUUGUCUGGCAUGCUCCCUGCACAUUCUCCAGCACCAAGCACAGACCUGGCACACAAUGAAUGUUCACUGAAAGAAUGAAGUUGAUCUCAGACUCUCCACCCAGCUCCAGGCUGCCAAAAUAAGCCCCUAAUUGCCUUCCCUGCUUCUCCUUUUGUUCCUGCCCCAUCUGUCUCCUAGGGAGAAUUGUCUCAGCUAGACCAGUCCUGGGCUCUUCACACAUCAGAGUUAGAGAGUUGACAGGGAAUUAAUAGAAGAUAGAACCUGAAAGGCUUAGGAGGGGUAAGACUUGGAGAAAUCUGUUGUCAGUCAAAAAUAAUAAAGUACAGAGGUGUAUGUGAGGAGGUAGGGGAGGGAGUACAGGAAGGGGAAAGAAAUCUAUAUAGUCCAGGUGUAAGUGAGAAAGUUCUUUCAGCAUUUGUCAAACUUGAGUUUGGGAGAGGGUGUGGGAAAUAAAUAACUGAGAAGAGUAAAUGGGAUUGCAGCAUAGAUGAGGAUUCUGAAUUAGGGCCACUCUGUCACCCAGGCUGGAGUACAGUAGUGCGAUCAAAGCUCACUGCAGCCUGGAGCUCCUGGUCUCAAGCAAUCCUCCCACCUCAGCCUUCCAAGUAGCUGGGACUACAGGCAUGUGCCACCAAACUCAGCUAAUUUUUUUUUGCAUUUUUUUGCAG
rnacentral:lncRNA from 1 species